GGGAUCGUGGGGUAGCCUGGCCCAUCCUCGGCCGCUGGGGGCGGUCGGACUCGAGUUCAAGUCUCGACGAUCCCA
rnacentral:tRNA from 1 species